GAUGAUAGCCCCCCAUUCAAGGUCAUCCAGAGAUGGACUUGGGGGGACGAUGAUAGCCCCCCAUUCAAGGUCAUCCAGAGAUGGACUUGGGGGGACGAUGAUAGCCCCCCAAGAUGGACUUGGGGGGA